rnacentral:rRNA from 1 species
AGGACGAACGCUGGCGGCGUGCCUAAUACAUGCAAGUCGAGCGGUAAGGCUACUUCGGUAGUACACGAGCGGCGGACGGCUGAGUAACACGUAGGAACGUACCCCAAAGUGAGGCAUAAGCACCAGAAAUGGUGUCUAAUACCGCAUGUGAUCUUCGGAUUAAAGCUUCGGCGCUUUGGGAACGGCCUGCGCAUGAUUAGCUUGUUGGUGAGGUAAUAGCUCACCAAGGCGACGAUCAUUAGCUGGUCUGAGAGGAUGACCAGCCAGACUGGGACUGAGAACGGCCCAGACUCCUACGGGAGGCAGCAGUAGGGAAUUUUCCACAAUGGGCGAAAGCCUGAUGGAGCAACGCCGCGUGCAGGAUGAAGGCUCUCGGGUCGUAAACUGCUUUUAUAUGUGAAGAUUAUGACGGUAGCAUAUGAAUAAGGAUCGGCUAACGUCCGUGCCAGCAGCCGCGGU